GUACUCAGAUUUGCAUCAAUCCCUAUGUGCUGGGGUGGACCGGAGUGGAACUUGAACUAAAUUUCACCCCAAUCCACCGCAACAAAUGUGGAUUGAGGUGAAUCCAACA
rnacentral:pre_miRNA from 1 species